AUAAGAUUUACAAAUGUUUACUUGAGAAGGUGCUUUUAAACACAAUUUGCCAUUUGUUUUUGUAUCCACAGCUCCAAACCCAGAAAUUAGAAAGCAAAGGGACAGACCUUUAAGCUUAUAAAAUAAGGUUAAUGUGACUUUUUUUUUUCUGUUAGGUUAUCUAGACUAAGCUCCCAAAUCAUUCUAUUGUCCAGCCCCAGAACACAUUGUCUGAGAGUCCUGAAGACAUCACUCAGUUCCUUUGGACCUGGGUCAUGGCAGGAUGCUGCUUCAUAUUCAUCGCCCCGACAGUGCGUGUGGAUCCCACAUUUCCCUCCUUGGCACCCUCUGCUCCUUCCCUGCGCCUGUGGCUGCUCAGCAUGGGACAGCAGAGUGAAUUCUGCAAGGAUAACUGCAGAUAAUUCAUCCAACAAAUUGGAGCAAGGGGACACAUGGCAUGAGGAGGGAGAACCUGUUUUCAGAAAGGAUGAAGAAAUUUUUAAGACUUGAUGAACACAAGAUGUGCAACAUUUCAGAGGUAUAACAAAAUUCUUUCUCUGAUGAAAGGAUAAAGGCAGAGUUGUCUGCUUAGCUAGCACCACCAGUCUCAGAGCCAGGCCAGACUUCUGCCAAUGACCCCGAGACUUGAAGGAGCCAGGCUCAAAGAGAAGCACCCAAAAGGAAAAUGGAAAUCUACUUUUCUUGACAUGUCUGUCAGCAAGCAGCAGAAGCACACCUUACCAGCAUGUGGAGGAAAAAGUAAGUAGUUUGGGCAUGACAAAAGCAUGAGCUCAAAAAGCUGCUAAGCAGCUCCUGAGGAGAGCCAUGUGGCUGAUGAAAGACCUUAUCCUCUUGAGAUUUUGGCACAGAGCAUUUGCAGGAAUAAGGAUGUUUCAUCCCUGGUGAUGAGCUACAAGUCUUGCAGAGGUGAGCAGCUGUCUCUGGAUAUCCUGUUUCCAGCAUUAAAAGAGGAAA
rnacentral:lncRNA from 1 species